GUGUCAGCAGCCGCGGUAAUACGUAGGGUGCAAGCGUUAAUCGGAAUUACUGGGCGUAAAGCGUGCGCAGGCGGUGAUGUAAGACAGGUGUGAAAUCCCCGGGCUUAACCUGGGAACUGCAUUUGUGACUGCAUCGCUGGAGUGCGGCAGAGGGGGAUGGAAUUCCGCGUGUAGCAGUGAAAUGCGUAGAUAUGCGGAGGAACACCGAUGGCGAAGGCAAUCCCCUGGGCCUGCACUGACGCUCAUGCACGAAAGCGUGGGGAGCAAACAGGAUUAGAUACCCUGGUAGUCCACGCCCUAAACGAUGUCAACUGGUUGUUGGUCCUUCACUGGAUCAGUAACGAAGCUAACGCGUGAAGUUGACCGCCUGGGGAGUACGGCCGCAAGGUUGAA
rnacentral:rRNA from 1 species